UUCAAUUGAGUUUACCAUAAUUUUAGCUUGGUGUUUGAUUGGUCUUGUGCCAAAAACAAUUAACUUCGAUUUUUUUAGGUUAAGUGACAAUUUAUUUCUGUCGAACCAGUUUUUUAAUUUGUUUAAUUCGUUUUCUACGGUUGUCAGGAGCUGUUUCAGAUUUAUUCCAGAACAGUAGAAAGUUGUAUCAUCAGCAAAUAGGACACAUUUAAAUAGUUUUGAGACCUUGCAGAUAUCAUUUAUAUAUAAGAUGAAUAGUUUUGGACCAAGCACUGACCCCUGAGGAACUCCGUGAGUGAUUUUCAGUUGAUUCGUUUUUUUAUUGUUGAGUUGCACGUACUGAUAUCUGUUUUCUAAAUAACUUUUUAUCCAUUUAUAA